UGGGGAAUAUUGCGCAAUGGGCGAAAGCCUGACGCAGCGACGCCGCGUGGGUGAUGAAGGCCUUCGGGUCGUAAAGCCCUGUCGGGAGGGACGAAACCUCGGUGACCUAAUACGUCACCGACCUGACGGUACCUCUUAAGGAAGCACCGGCUAACUACGUGCCAGCAGCCGCGGUAAUACGUAGGGUGCGAGCGUUAAUCGGAAUUACUGGGCGUAAAGCGUGCGCAGGCGGUUUUGUAAGACAGAUGUGAAAUCCCCGGGCUUAACCUGGGAACUGCGUUUGUGACUGCAAGGCUGGAGUACGGCAGAGGGAGGUGGAAUUCCACGUGUAGCAGUGAAAUGCGUAGAGAUGUGGAGGAACACCGAUGGCGAAGGCAGCCCCCUGGGCCUGUACUGACGCUCAUGCACGAAAGCGUGGGGAGCAAACA
rnacentral:rRNA from 1 species